rnacentral:rRNA from 1 species
GACGAACGCUGGCGGCGUGCCUAAUACAUGCAAGUCGAGCGGACCGAACAGGAGCUUGCUCUUGUUCGGUUAGCGGCGGACGGGUGAGUAACACGUGGGUAACCUGCCCGUAAGACCGGGAUAACUCCGGGAAACCGGAGCUAAUACCGGAUAACACCGAAGACCGCAUGGUCUUUGGUUGAAAGGCGGCUUCGGCUGCCACUUACGGAUGGGCCCGCGGCGCAUUAGCUAGUUGGUGAGGUAACGGCUCACCAAGGCGACGAUGCGUAGCCGGCCUGAGAGGGUGACCGGCCACACUGGGACUGAGACACGGCCCAGACUCCUACGGGAGGCAGCAGUAGGGAAUCUUCCGAAAUGGACGAAAGUCUGACGGAGCGACGCCGCGUGGGCGAAGAAGGUCUUCGGAUCGUAAAGCUCUGUUGUUAGGGAAGAAGAAGCGUCGUUCGAACAGGGCGGCGCGGUGACGGUACCUAACGAGAAAGCCCCGGCUAACUACGUG